rnacentral:rRNA from 1 species
GAUGAACGCUGGCGGCGUGCCUAACACAUGCAAGUCGAGCGAUUCUCUUCGGAGAAGAGCGGCGGACGGGUGAGUAACGCGUGGGUAACCUGCCCUGUACACACGGAUAACAUACCGAAAGGUAUGCUAAUACGAGAUAAUAUGCUUUUAUCGCAUGGUAGAAGUAUCAAAGCUCCGGCGGUACAGGAUGGACCCGCGUCUGAUUAGCUAGUUGGUAAGGUAACGGCUUACCAAGGCGACGAUCAGUAGCCGACCUGAGAGGGUGAUCGGCCACAUUGGAACGGAGAGACGGUCCAAACUCCUACGGGAGGCAGCAGUGGGGAAUAUUGCACAAUGGGCGAAAGCCUGAUGCAGCAACGCCGCGUGAGCGAUGAAGGCCUUCGGGUCGUAAAGCUCUGUCCUCAAGGAAGAUAAUGACGGUACUUGAGGAGGAAGCCCCGGCUAACUACGUGCCAGCCGCCGCCGUAA